GUUUUAAUAAUUUAAUAAAAAUAUUGAUUUUGUAAAUCAACAUUGAAAUCUGUUUCUUAAAACU
rnacentral:tRNA from 1 species